rnacentral:lncRNA from 1 species
AAUAAUAAAAACACUUAAUAUUUAAAGUUAACAAAUGACUAAUUAGUAGAUUUUUUAAUAUUUUAAAAAUAUUUUAAUGAGUUUAAUGAAUUUCAUUAUUAUAUUUGAGGGACUAAAUAAUUAUUUUUUCUUCUCUUUAUAUAUAAAUUUAACUUAAUGAUAAAGUGAGAUCAUUUUAAUGUUAAAAAAACCCCUAAUAUUAGAACAAAAUUUGAUUUUUAUUUAAAUCUGAUUGGCAUAUAAUUCCUUUAUUUAAAAGGAGAUGGAAUGAUAUGAACUUAAUUCAUCUUUUUUUUGAAAAAAAAAAAAAAAAAGUAUCCACCUCUGUUCAUGUAUUUAUAAUUUCUCCCUGUUGAGUUGCACUAAUUUACCCUUCUUUUUCCGGAAGCAGAUAAGCCUAAGCCAAGCCCCAAGCCUUCGUUCAUUCCAGAAACUAAUAGAUCAUCAAAUCAAGUUUACAAACCAAGGAGAUUUACUUAUAAACAACUAAUAAAUAUAACUUAAUGAUAAAGUUGGAUCAUCUUAAUGUUAAAAAAAUCCUAAUAUUGGAAUAAUUUUUAAUUUAUUUAAAUGACAUAUAAUCCUUUAUUUAAAAGGAGGAAGGGAUUUAAUUAAUUCACCUUUUUGUAAAAAAAAUAUAUCCACCUCUGUUCAUGUACUUGAUCCUUUUUUUUUUUUUUCCUGAAGCAGAUGAGGUUAAGCCAAGCCUCAAGCCUCCUAUCAAUCAAGAAACUAAUAAGCCAAGCUCCAAGCCUCCUGUCAUUCAAGAAACUAAUCAAAUCGUUGUACGGAAUGGUCGAAGCACCAGUCGACAACCAACAGAAGCAACUAGUAAUGGUUCCUCCAACAACAUUGGAGAAACUUCAUUUGAAGAGAAGACUCAAGUUUACAAACCGAGGAGAUUUACUUAUUUUGAACUAACAUCUGCGACUCGAGGUUUCGCUAAAAACAACCUUCUUAACGGGGGUCCUUUGGGUAAAGUUUAUAAGAGUAUCCUAAAUUAUGAUGAAACGGUGAUAGUGAAGAAACUCUAUAUAUACAUGUGUGAAGGGAAAGAAGAUGAAUUCAAGAAGAUUAAAGACAUCAGCACUAGUGUCCAUGAUAAAAAUGUUGUUAACCUGAUUGGAUACUGUGAUGAAGGAGACAAAAGGUUGCUCGUUUACGAGUAUUUUCCAGCCAAGUCCUCCUUGAGAUCUCAUUUAGAUGGUAAGCCCUUUAUCUUAAGCAACUCAUCAAUAAAUGUGUGUGUUACUAUAGGAUUUAUGGCUUUAUAAAGAUAAUGUUUAUUAAAUUUUGGAUCAGACCUAACUCAUUCCAAAAAUUAGUUCACUGAGAAGAGUGUCCAAAACCCAUAUAAGUGGCACAUUAUCCCUAUAUCUCAAAUCAUUAUCAGAUUCAACACAAUCUCCAUGUACAGGACUAAAUUGGGGAGUGAAAUAUUUAUGUAAGACUCAAUAUUGAAUGAGAAGACUAUAAACCAUGUUAAGUUUUGGGUAAGUCUAAUUCACCCCAAAAUCUAAUUCUGAAAAUCCUUAUAAGCGGCAUAUUACCUCUAUCCCAAACCAAUGUAGGAUUCAACAAUGUUAAAUGAAAAAUUCUUAUUUGAACCUGGACCUAGAACAUAGAAAAUUGGAUUUCAUUUAAUUUUUUUAUGGAGUAAUCCACUUACAUGUAUUUUUAGUCCAUAAUGAAUCGAGUCCGAAUACCGGCUUUACAUGUUAAAUGGAUACCUCCAACAGUCCUUAAAACAAAAAAAGUUGCAAACGUCAACGGCCAUUACUUCAUUCAAUGGCCCAUUUAAUAGCCAUAUCGAAAGAAGGGAUGAAGGCCAUCAGUUCCAAGUGUGAUGUGAAAAAAUUUCCCUUGAACCCGAGGUCACAGUGAGGUGAGCUGUUGGGAGCUAUGGGUAUUUUUUCCUCCAGAUUUAGAGUAGUUGCUUCAGUGGGAUGACUUAAACAUUGAGUAUGCGAGAGUAAGAUUUAUUAUUAGAAUACUUUAUUUAUGAGAUUUAGAGUGUUAUUUGAUUUAGUGAAAUGACUUAAAUACUGAUUAUAUGUGAGAGUAGUAUUUACUUUGGGGCAUUUUUUCUAAGGGAUUUAGAAGGUUGUUUAUUGCAUUAGGGUGACUUAAAUAGUGGGUAUGUGGGAGUGGUAUUUUCUAUCUGAGAUUGAAAAGAGUGUUCCUUUAGUGAAAGUUGCUUAAACACUUAGUGGUAAUAACAUGAGUCUUCAUAUUUAUAUGAGAGGAAUAUACAAAUAUUAUGGAAAAUAUUAUAGGAAUUACUCAAAUAAUUAUUAUAAUAUUUGUACAUAAUAUUAUUCGCAUAUAGUGAAAAAGUAUUUUAUUGCUAUCUAUAAACGUAGGCUGGCAUUCAGCUAGUCGAACCAAAUUAAAAUUUUGUAUUUUUUAUUUUUUUUACGAUUUCUAGAAAUAAUCCCUAAUUUUUUCCGAACGGAUAAUAUGGCAGGGAAUGGCAGUUUGGAUUGGCCAACCAGAAUGGAGAUCGCUAUACGCAUCGGAAGAGGAUUGGUAAAUCUGCAUGACUUAUGUGAGUCUUCGCUUGUAUGCUUAGGCCUUGGCUAUAUCAAAGCUUGAUUUUUCCAGAUUUUCUCCCUUAAUAUUUGUGAUCUCUAUAUUUCUCAGACAAGCCCUGGAAUAUAUACGAGCAUUAUAAGGAUAAUAGCAUCUUUCUUGAUGAAAAUUUUCAACCAAAGGUGAUUAUAUAUAUGGCAGAUUUAAACAUUUUCGAAUGAUCAAUUAGUAUUAUGUAAAAAAUUUCUUAAGCUUAUUAUUCAAUAUGCAACUAUACUUAACUGUAAAUAUAUGGUGCAAUAAAUUUACUUUGAUUAUCAUUUUAAUCAGUUUGCAGAGUAUAAACGUGACAAAUUUUUCUCAAAAGAUUCUGGAAAUUCUAUUCCUAGAAGGUAAAGAUGAAACUUUUGUUUAUGUUUUCUCUUCGUCAUAUUGUUUGCUCAAGCUUAUAGAUACAUGAUCAAUUCUCCAACUGCAGUUCUAUGUCUUCAAGAUAUGUAAAGCUAGAUGUUUAUUUCUUUGGUGUAAUUCUUUUGGAGAUGAUUACUGGGAAAUUACCUGAUCUUCGUUCCUAUGAUUCCUUCAACUUAAUUGAAUGGGUACGUAUUAAUUUUUUUGUUUUAAUACAAAUGAAAAGAGCUUCUUGAUUUGAGUAUGUAAGGGUUUAUUUAUUUAUUAUUCUUAACGUUCAGGCUGUUCCUACAAUUCAAAAUGAUUGGCCCCAAGGCAACUAUAAGUUUGUUGAUGAAAAAUUGGGGAGAAACUUUGACGAGGAUGAAAUGGAUAGAAUGAUAGAAUGUACUUUAGCAUGUGUAGAGCGUUAUCCACAAAAUCGACCAGAAAUGAGCAAGGUAAUUUCAUAAAGCUUUACAUUCUAUUUUAUAUUAUGCAUAUAUACAUGUGAGUUCGUUUUUUAAACGAUUCAAUCGAUAUAUUUUAGUAUUUAGAUAAUAAUAUUUUUAUUACGAUCGUAAAAUUAUUAUCUUAAUGGCUAAGAUAAUAAUUUAAAAUUAUUAUAAAAAAAUUCAUUCGAUAAAAUUAUAAUUUUAAUUAAAAAAAUAAUUAAAUUAUUACUUUAUUUUUAACAACAAUGUAAAUAUAAUAGUUGUUAAACUGUUAUUAUUAAUUUAUAAUUAUUUUUAAAUAUAUAAAACAAUAAUUUAUAAUUAUUGUAUUAAAUUUAUUUUUCUAAUAGUAAUUAUAAUAAACUAAUAACAUUCAUGUGUUGGAAUCAUACUCUAAUUUUGGGAAGAAAAAAAAACUCAAUUGCUAAAAGUUAAAUUUUGUAAGAAUUAUUGAUGAAGUUAUUUUAUUCCAUUUAUUAGCAGAUCAGUACUCUUUUGUUUCCCUUUUUCUAAUUACUUUUCUCGGUAAAGCAGGUUGUUGAAGUUCUAGCAGGAAACAUUCCUCGGAAAAAUCUCAAGAAUUGAGAUGAAAUGUUUGAAAAAGAAAAUUAUUUUUUUCCUUUUCAAUAGAAGUUGGAAACUUCCUUGAAAGGCCGAUUGGACAUUGAAAUAAAAGAUAGACCUCAGUUGAAAUGGCAAAGGAGUGUAACUGGAAGACUUUCUGAAUUUUGCUUGUAUUGAUGUGUCUUGGAGACUAUUGCAAUUUAAAAAAAAAAAAAAAAGUUCCGUUUGAAAUAAAUCGAAUGUAAAAAAGUGAUUUAGCUUAGAGUAAUUUUUUUAAUUAACUCUUUUUAGUUAAUAAAAUUAAAAUUUUAGUUAUUAUGUUUCUAAAUAUACAAAUUAAAUUAAAUUCUUCUAAAUUUUUAGUUUUCAAACAGGAAAAUAAAAGGUUUUGGAAGGUUUGAAUCCAAAUAAGAACCUUGAGAGAAUUAUAUCACCACCGCCAAAUUGCUGGACUAUCUACAGUAGCAUUUCUUUUUCAAAACAAUUGAAAAUGAGGUUACUUCUUAUUAUUAAUUUAAUUCCAAUAACUUAUCAUAUUUGUCGUUAUUAUCCAUAUUAAACAAUGACCAAGAUUUUAAAAUGACUCUCUCUAAUUUAAUUCUAAUAUUAAAAAUGACCAAAUUUAUUAUCUAUAUUAAACAAUGACCCUAAGAUCAAACUAACAACUUUGUAGUUUCUUCAUUUAUUAAUAUGCAAGUGGGACAUAAAAAAAUCAUUAGUUAAUUAAUUUAGUACGUCCUAUUUUAUAAUACACUGACCAAUCUGAAAGCUGAUUGGCCCCCACAAAUGGAUUAAUUAAUAAUUCAACCUUCUUAAUUAAUGCCGCCUUCACUGACAGCCUGGGUACUGUUCAGAAACUAACAAUAUAGUAAUCUUAGAUUGCACCGACUCUGCAUAAUUUGUAUUUUUUUAAUACUCCCUACUUUGAAACUUUAAUUUUCGCUAUCAGUCCUCAUUCAAUCUAUUCGAUUUUAAAAAUUAAAUCCAUCGAAAAUUAAAAUUUAAAUAUUUUUAAAAAUUUUAUUUUAAAAAAAAAAUAUAUUUUUCAAAGUUAAAUUAAAUUAAUUUUAAUUAAAAAUUAAAUUAAAUUGAAUUCAUUUAAUUUAAUUUUAUUCAAUUCAAUUUCAUCAGUUAAAUUUUUAAUAAUUUUUAUUUUUUAUAUUUUAAAAUUUAAUUAAAUUAUUUUUAUUUUAAUAUAAUUUAAUAUAUUUAUAUUAUUAAAAAUAAUAUAUUAUUAUCCUUAAUCGGUUCAGUUUAAUUUUUUUUUAUUUUUUUUAUUAAAAUUAAACUGAAUUGAAAUAAUUAAAAUUUUUAAAAUUAAAAAUUAAAUCAAAUCAAAAUAAAUAAAAAAUUAAAUUAAUUAAUUUUUUCCAUUUAAGCUGCAUGCGAAUCACUAUCAUCUUUGCCAUGCUGUCAAAAUUAGAUAACAUAUGUUUUUAUUAAAAAAAUAUUAUGCCCAUGUAAAACAUAUAGGUUAAAUAUAUAUUUAUAUAUUUAUAUUUUAAUAUUAUAUACAAAACGAUACAAGAAUAUAUAUAUAUAUAUAUGACUGACUCUCUCUCUCCUUGGCUUUUCAUUUCCUACCUUGACUGACUCUCUCUCUCUCUCUCUCAUCGUAACCUUGUGGGCAGCCAUGGCUGGGUCUUACUUUCGCUGGUUCAAGAAUAACGAAGGAAACGCCAAUGACCAAAACAGAGGAGGUAUAUCUUUGCUUAUACUGUAAGAUAAAUCCAACUCUGUUGGAAUUUCUUACCUUCUAAUAUCUAUAUUAAUAUAUAAAAAUCCAAAUCACUGUAUCAUGAUCAUAUAUGAUUAGAUUUGUUUGUUAUGUUAUAGACCUAUUUUUCUUAUUUGAUUUAUCAAUUUUUGUUUUUCAGAUAUUAAUUAUUGACAAUAAAACUUAUAUUUAAAAAUAAAAAAAGAAAGCCCUUCUCAUUUGAUUCUCUUUUGUUUUCAAUUAUUAAAAACAGAGGAAAAUGCAAUUCCAGAACCAAGCAGAGGAGGUAUGUUACAAGUGAAUUGCUAAACAUCCUAUUUGAAAUUUCGAUUAUGUGUGAAAUUUAUAUUUGCCGUACUACAUCUUUUAGUUUCGUAAGGAAUUAUUGACUUAAAAGUAGACCUAGCUAGAUCUAUGGAACGGAAUAAAUGGAAAAUUGAAAUAUGAGUAUUUUAAUAAUCAAACCGAAUUGAUUUUAAUCAAAAAUUAAAUCAAAUCGAAUCGAUUUGAUUCAAUUUAAUUUAAUGAGUUUUAGUUUUUAAUAAAUUUUUUUAUUUUUUACGCCGUUUUUUAAUAUUUUAAAAUUUAAUUGAAAUAUUUUAAUCUAUAAUCUAAUCUCUUUAUAUUAUUAAAAAUAAUAUAUUAUUACCAUCAAUCAGUUCAGUUUGAUUAUUUUAAUUUUUUUUUUAUCAAAAUCAAACCGAAUUGAAAUAACUAAAAUUUUUAAAAUUAAAAUUCGAAUUGAAAUAAAUAAAAAAUUUAACUUAAUUUUUAAAUUAAUUCAGUUCGGUUAAUUUUUUCGAUUUGAAUUCAAUACUGCUCACUCUUAACCAGAUUUAUUCAAGCCGUGAAUUGAAUUGAAAUGAUCAAUUAAAUUCUAAGGUGACUCCCCCUUAUGAAUGAGAAAAAAUGGGAUUUUUAUAAUGUUUUGAUGUUUAACCUAGGGUUUUAGAGUCAAAAUAAGAGGAAAAUUAUAUUCUUAUAGUGUCUCACGACUAGGCCGUGCCUGAGGAGACUUUGUCUCGGCCCAGUUGAUCAAGUAUAAUUUAGCGACAUUUUUCUUAUUAUUAUUACUAUUUAAAUAUGUAUUUUCUUACCUUAAUUUAUAUUUUUACAAUAUUUUUGCAGAAAAGGAGAAAAAUGGAAACUUGGAGAAAAAUAGCUUGAAAUGCUAGAAAACUGAUUUGGCCGAAGCGAUUUGACCAAAUCAAGCCUCAAAGAAUGCCAAAGGCAGCUACAAGAAGAGGAAGCUAACCUACAAGACUUGAUAUGCCUAUGUUGAUUUGCCCGGAUCGUUGGCCAAAUCACCUUAAGAAAAGUUGAAACUGAAACCCGGAGGAAACACGCAGAAAUGAUUUGGGCGAGGGAUUUGCUCAAAUCACUGUCUAAAUCAACGGUCCUCAGCAAGAAAAUACAGAAGCACGGAAAAGCAAAAAUCCAAAGAUUCAAACGUCUUAGAGUCCUAUCCUACUUCAAAUACACCAAGACCAAUCCUAUGACACCACAUAAACUGCACCAAAAGGAGUCCUACACCAAAUGAGAUCUAUUCAUGCUAGAAUAUAAGAUAAAGAAGAAAUAAAAAAAAGACCAUCAAAGACCAAGUCUAAAUAAGAUUCCAACUCCAAGAAGGAUUAAGACUUCUCACCUAUAAAAAAGGGCAGCAACCAACAGCAAAAAAAUAUCAGAAUUUUGGGCAGAAGCUUCGACAACACCUCUCGCUCUCAUUUUCUUCUUCUUUUUCUCUUUUAUGUGUUCUUUAUCCACCAUGAGUGGCUAAAAACUUUUAUCUCUAGUUGAAGUUGGAGAAAUUUCAGUUUGUUAUGAAUUGGGAGAUUUGAAACUCCAUUGUUAAAACUUUUAUUUUUCAAGAUUUAUGCAACUUGUUCUUCAUGUCUAUUAUUGCCUUGCUAUUAGAAUCAAUAAGGGCCCAUUGCUUUUAAUUAUAGGUAAUAUAUUGUUAGUUUAAAUAAUUUAGGUCUGUAAUUGCUUAGAUUAUUUGAACACAAGUAACAAUUGGUUGCAUGAUCUAACUUAACCACGCGGUUGACAUUAGAAUUAGGUUUCUCUAUUUUUUAAUGCAGUUAACAGUUGAAAAGUGAAAAACUCUAAAGACGUUCCUUGGCAAUUUGUUAACUAGUGUUUGAUUAACGAACAUUUCCUAAUCAAAUUAAAACUAAUGAGGAAUUUGGUUGUGGGAAGCGUCUUCCACAACCUAAACUAAUUUAUUAAUAUAAAUAGAAGUAUCCAAGCGUCAAUGAUCAAUUCUAAACUGAAAUGGAUCAUAUACUUCAAUUAGAGUCUUUUUAUUAUUGAUUUACCCAUCUUUUAAUUAUUGCUCUCUUUACUACUUUAGUAUUAAUCUUAGAUCAUCAUCAUAAAAAACAACCCCCUUUAUUUUAUUUUUGUUAGUUGAUUUGCCCCGGUCAUUGUUAGGAAAGUCUUUAGUGUCAAAUCUCUGUGUUUCGAUCCUAUUGCCACUAUCUACAGUUCUUUUUGGUGAUUAUUAAUAGAUUUAUUUUUUACGAUUUCGACAACCGCUAUCACUAGUGGUGAAAACUACUGUCCAUUUAGGCAAAAAACAUGUCUCACGACAAGGUUGUGAGACAUUUUGACCUCAUUUUUUUUUUCUAUUCAUUGCUCCUCAUGGCCUAUUUGUGAAUUUUGGUUGGCCAUGAGAAGUUUUGACUUUUGAUCUCCAAAAUGUUCAAAAUCUUCAAAAUAAACUCCAAUUCUACUUUAGAAAUAAAAAAAAUUAAUAAAAGUUAGAUAUUUUAAAAUUAAUAUCUACCAAAUAAAAAUUAUAUAAAAAAUAAGUAUAGAAUUGUAUUUAAAUGUGGUAAAAAUAAAUAUAAAAAUUUAUUAUAUUAAUAAGUGAAAUAUUAGUUAACUUAAAAUAUGUAUUUUUUUUAAUUUUAAUUGGAACCUAUCAUCCUAGGUUCUUCAGUUUUUGCAUUCAACUGAAUUUAUUUGCAUCUGGGUAUGGAUCUGAAAUUUGCUGUGGAUAAGAUAUAUAUACACACACACGUAUAAAUAUGGUUAACAAUGGAGAAGGAUAUUGUAGCAAUGGGAGAUUGAACUGGUAGCACAAUUAUUGGCUUUCAUUAAUACAAUUAGAACAUAUAUAGACUGAGAGAAAUCAUCACCUCAUUUAGGAAGUUUAAUUAAUGUUACAGAUUCUCUUUAUCAAUUAUAACAAAACCUGAACGAAUUAAAUAAACCAUUUGUUAUUAUGUAAAUUAAAGAAUGAAUAAUUAAAAAAUCACAAUCAUAUGAAUUAGGUUCACCUUCCAGAUCGUUGACUUUUGAAAAAGGGUUAAAAUACUAAUUAAAUUUGAAGGCCAUGAUUGUUCAUGGAUAGAGUCUUAGCAUAAGUGUAUCCAUUCAUACGUCUAAGUGGAAAUCACGUUAACCUUAUGCCUUAAUAAACAAUACACAACUUGUUAUUUUUGUAAGACUUUUAUAUUUUUAUUUUAUUUUCAUUGUUGGCCACUACACGAAAUUGAUUGGUCAAUUAUUGAGUUAAAGUUAGAAUAAAGAGAAACUCAUUGAGCUAAAGUUACCUACUGUCUUCCUUCAUCCUUCCUACUUACUCUCUAUCUCUGACCAUUCCCAUUCACACUCUAUAAGAACUGUAUUAUAUUUAUACUUGCAACAAACCUCUGGUCGUGGUUGCAUAAGUCUGCAAGUUCCGAUGGCCUCUCGCUUGGGGAUGAACGGGGCAGAUCGCCGGAUGGAAACUAGAGGUAUUACUUGUUUUUAGCUGAAACUGUUGUACCAAAUAGUAAUAGUUCAUGGAGAUUUCAUUUCAUCUAACUCAUUGGGGCAUGUUGUCUAUUGAUUGUCACUGAGCACAGAUCCAAAUGAAUCUGGCUCAUCUCCUGAGAAGAGACCAAGUCAUACAUCUGCAUCUGUCAAUUAUAAUGAUAUUGGGCCAAAGCCAUAUUCAUACAGUGAAUUAGCAAGGGUAACUGGUCAUUUCUCGCUUAAUAACCUAAUUGGUCGAGGUGGUUUUGGUCAUGUUUUUAAGGCAGUCUUAGAUGGUGAGAUUCGUGCUAUCAAGAAACUUGAUUUUCUGGAUGUACAAUCUGAAGGAAGUUUGGAGAGGGAGAUUAUGGUCAUCAAAAGCAUCAGCCACAGAAACCUCGUUGAACUGGUUGGUUACUGUAUUGAUGGAGCCAAUAGAUUGCUCAUCUUAAAGUAUUUUCCAAAUGGAUCCUUGAGAUUUAAAUUACAUGGUGAGUCCCAUAUCCUUUCUUUUACUUUUAUGUUCAUCUAACUAAUCAAUAUGACAUAAUUAAUCUUACAAAUUAUAAAUGGUAUUAUAGGAAGUGAUAAUGUUUUGGACUGGGAGACAAGAAUGAAGAUCGCCAUAGGUUCUGCAAGAGGGUUAGAAUAUUUACAUGAAAAUUGUGAGUAUAUACUACUACAUAUUCUUAUAUGGCAGGAUUUUAGCUUUUGAGUGUAAAUUUAUUUAUUUAUUUUUAUUUAUGUUGAUAAUUUAUUUUCUCUCAAAAUUUUAUAUUCUUUUUUUUAUAUUUUUUUCAGGUAAACCUAAGAUUAUACAUUUAGAUAUUAAACCAGAUAAUAUUCUUCUCGACGAAAAUUUUGAACCUAAGGUGAGUUAAUUUUAUAAUUAAUAAAUAUUUUAUUUAUAUUACUGUUCUCUAACAAAAAAAAUAUCAUUAAAUACCAAAAUUUUAUUUUUAAACAGUAUUGAAAAAUUAUGUGAACUCAUUAAUUAUAUAAUUUGAUUGUUGUAAUUAAUUAAUAAAUUUUGGUUCUAACUUUUUGGUUUGGCCAUAUAUCUUAUAAAAAAAUUAAUAAAUCAAUCUUAGUAGGUUUCUUAUCUUUUUUUUUUCAUGAUUUAAAGUUUUCUUAAUAAACCUUAUUGAAGUAGGGAAAAUAGUGUAAUUUAUCAAAUUAAAAAAGUAAUAAACUUAUUAAUCUUCUCAAAUCAUUUGUUUAGAUAACAGAUUUUGGACUUGCUCAAUUUUUUACGGACGGUGCUACUCACAUAUCCAAAUCGUCAGUUAUGGGAACCCAUGUGUAAGAUAUAAAUUUCUUUUUUAUCAUUUAAUUGCAUCGCUAUUAUUGUUUAACUCUUUCGUUGCCAUUAUUAUCUACUCUUAGACUAGUUUAAAAAUAAAAUAAAAUUUAAAACAGACCAAAAAAAACCCACGAAAAGAAAUUAGGACUUGAAGAUCUUAGUUCGUUAAAGAAAAUUUUAACAUGAUUUUUUUUAGAAAUUUAUAAUUUAGUACCUCAAUAUUGCAAUUAUUAACAAGUCAGUUCUCGUAUUUUCAGAAAUCUAUUAAAAUGUCUUUAUUUCUGCUGUUAAAAAUAUAUCAAAAAACCAAAUUAUCUCCCUUCUUUUCCUCUUCCUUCUUCUUCAUUAAUUCUUCCUCCUCUUCUUCUUCUUUGGUUCUUCUAUUUCUUCUUCUUCGAUUUUUUUUUAUUCUUAUUCUUUAAAGAGGAGGAGACGAUUCUUCUUCUUCUUCUUCUUCUUCAUCAUCAUCAUCUUCUUCUCCUUCUUUUUCUUCUUCUUCUUCUUCUUCUUCUUUUUCUUCUUCUUUUUCUUCUCCUUCAUCAUCAUCUUCUUCUUUUUUUAUUCUUCUUUGAGGAGGAGGAGGAGGAGGAGGGACUAUUUUAUUGACGGAAAGAAACGAUAAAGACGUUUUAAUGGAUAUGAGAAAAGAUAAGAACGUUUUAAUAGAUUUCUAAAAAUAUAGGGACUAACUUGUUAAUAAUAACAAUAUCCAAGAACUAAAUAAGGGGUUUUAUUUGAAAGCAAAAUUGUAUUUUAAAAGUUUUUUCUCUCAUUCUUUAUCUAUUUUUAAUGGAAAAGAGGACGGAAUGACUAUUUCGUUGACGGAAGAACUAUUUCGUUAACAGAGAAAAAAGAUAAAGAAGUUUUAAUAGGUUUCUAAAAAUACAGAGAUUGACUUAUUAAUAAUAACAAUACUCAAAGACUAAAUAAUAAAUCUCUCUUUUUUUUUGGUAAGUACCUUAAUAUGAAAUUUAAUUGUGAUGAUUUUACUGCAGUUAUGAAGAUCCAUUUACAACAAAAAUGGGAAAAUACUCAGACAAAUCUGAUAUUUAUUCUUUUGGUGUUACACUUUUAGAGUUGAUCACCGGAAGAAAACCCAUAUAUAAUGGAAUUGACAUUAUUACUUGGGUAUGACUCUAUUUGCAUUAAAGAUUUUAUUUUAAACAUUCAAUUGAAAAAAAAAUAAAACUUUUGAAUUUAGAUAUUCUAUUUAGAUUUGAGUCUAAUGCAUUUAUUAUCCAUUAAUAAAUAAUUUUUUAAACAUUCAAUUGAAAAAAAUAAAACUUUUGAAUUUAGAUAUUCUAUUUAGAUUUGAGUCUAAUGCAUUUAUUAUCCAUUAAUAAAUAAUUUUUUAAUCAAUGUCUUUUAGGCAAAUCCUUUAAUUGAGAACGCCAUAGAUGGAAGAUAUGUGAAUUUGGUAGAUUCCAAAUUACAAUCCUUCGACCAGGAAGAGAUGCAUAGAAUGAUUUCUUGUAUUAAUUCUUGUCUAAAUCAAUUACCAAACUCUCGUCCAACAAUGGAAAAGGUAAAAUUUAUUCAUACAAUUAACUUAAUUUUAAUAUAUUCAAAACUAUAUAUAUAUAUUACACAUUAUAUAUUUUCAAUUAAUUUUAUGAAAGCAUAUAUCUCGAAAGAUUACAUAGUUAACUUGUAAACAGAUACGAUUAGUUCUUGAAGGAAAAUUACCUCCAGAGAAAUUAUACAAACACAAAUUGCAAUGGAGUAUUACACAUGAAGGUACAUAUUCUUUUAUAUUAAUUUAUUAUAAAUUAUAUGUAUAUUUAUUCGAAAGUUUGAUCUAAUUGAUGUCUAAAUUUUGAUUUAAUUUGUGUCUUAUCUUAAUAUCAAGAAACAAAUGUUGAUUUUCAACUGUAAAAAUAUAAUUUUUUUUUUUAAUUUGAAAUUUAUAACAAAUUAGUUUUUAACCAAAUCUAAUAGCAUAUUAAUGAAAUAUAAUUUUAACAAUGAUGAAACAUUUACCUUAAAAUUCAUUCACAUAAUUUAAUUCUGGUACAUUUCAAAAUUCUCUCUAUUUUACGGACUAUUUUCAAUUAAUUUUGUGGAAACAUUGAGAGAAUACGUAAUCGACUAUUAAAUCUGAUUGGCUAUAAUUCCUUUAUUUAAAAAGAGGAAGGAAUGAUAUGAACUUAUUUCACCUUUAAAAAAAAUGUUUCUGCCUCAGAUUUUGCUUUUUUCCGUUAAUAAUUCUCCUUACAGAGCUGCACUAAUUUACCCUUUUUCUUUUUUUUGGCAAGCAGAUGAGCCUAAGCCAAGUCCCAAGCCUCCAAUCAUUCAAGGAACUAAUAAUAAUAGUACACGAAAUAUUCGACUUGCCAGGCGACGUCGACCAACAGAAGCAACUAGCAAUGGUUCCUCCAACAUCAUUCAAGAAACUUCAUUUGAUGAUGAGAUGAUAUAUGAAAAGCCCGUUUUGGACAGAGGAGAAAACUGUUGCAUUUCAUAAAACCUUAAACCUUUCUCUUUCUUAUUUUUUAUAGACCAGGUCCUCCUUAUCAUUUUAAGCCUCUCUUUUUUUUUUUUUUUAAAACCAUAACUUAUUACAUUUCUACACAUUCUCUCUAUUGGAUAUGACCUAACUUUAAAAAAUAGCCUCUUUUACUUAAGUCCAAUAUCAAAUUUGGAGUAUCAACAAUUCUUUUCAUUGAUAAAUCCGUUGGUGGAUAUAAGACGAAGCAACUAAUUUUAAAUUUUAUGACAUACUUGGAUUGGACCUAACUUUUAAUCGACGUCGGAUGGAGACCCACGAUAGCUUUUUAGAAAAGGAAUUUCGAAACGCAUGACUUUUAAAAGUGUGAUUAGGGUAACAGGCCUGGUCACAAAAUUCAAGUGGUCAAUUUUUCAUUUUAAUUAUUUUUUUAAAUAUUUUUAUAAUUUUGCAUAUUAGAAUUUUUUCUAUUAUAAAUAGGUUUUGGCUAUUUGAGACUCACUUGUCACUUUUUUAAGAAUUUCGAUAAGACUUUUCCACUUUUAACCAUUCGUUUUUUUCAUAUCGUCUUAGUCAAACAAUAUUGAUAAAAAUUACAGACGGAGUUCUUUAUCAAAUAGUACCAUUCAUUUUUUAAAAGUCUGGUUGUUAAGAUUUUACCAACAAAUUUCAAAUUUGUUAGCGCUAUGUACUACUGAAUUUAUCAACAUAGAUUUCCAUAUCUUAUCUAAUUUGGGUUGUAGUCUAGAACUUUUCAUGUUGAGUUAUAAUAUGGUGCAUAAAUAAAGUAUACUUAAAAUUCAAGCCAUAUAAAUAACAUAAUUUAUGUUUAAUAUUUAUUAAAAAUAUAAAUAUAUUUAGAAAGAAAGUGUAGAUGAUAAAAUAAAGUAUGAAAAAUUAAAAAAAUGAGAGAAAGUAGAAAUAGUAGAAAAGUAAAUGGUAUAAAAUGAGAGAAAAUUAUUAAAAAGAAAAAGAAAAAGGAGAAAAAACUAAGAAAAUGAUUAAAAAGAAAAAUUAUGGAGAAUAGAAAAGAAUAAAAGAAGAGGGAAAAGAUAAUUAAAGAAGUGAGGGAAAAGGAAAUAAAUGAUUAGAGAAAAAAAAAUGAAUGAAGAGAAAAUAAUAGAAAAGAAAAAGAUAGAUAAAAAAAUAAUAGAAAAAACUAAAAUUAGAGAAAUUAAUAUGAAUAAGAAUUAUAUAAAAAUAAAAAAAUGAGACAUAAAAAAGGAAGAAAAAUAAUGAAAGAAAAGAAAAUGAAAAAAGUUAUAGAAAGAAAAAUUAUAGAGCAAAAUGAAGAAAAUAAGAACAGAUGAAGAGAAUAAGAGAAAAAAAAGGAUAAUAGAAGAAUGAGAAAUGAUAAAAAAAUAAUAAUAAUAAGAGAAAAAAGAUUAUGAGAUUAGAAAGUUAAAAUAAAAGAAAAUAAUAAAAAAUGAAAAAAAUGAAAAAAAAAAGGAAAAUGAAAAAAUAAAAAAUAAUAUAUGGAUGGAUGACAAAAGGAAAAGGAGAAGUGUUAAUAUUUAUAAAUCAAAUUAUUAAUGGAUUAUAAAUAUUUUAAAGAAAAUGUGUUUUUGAAGAGAAAGAAGGAGAAGCAUGCCUUUUUCCUUUUAUUCAAGAUGUAAUGAGUUUUUACAAGAGUAAGAUAAUCCCGAAACUUAGUUUUAGAGGAGCUUAUAUACUCCUCACGUGGAGCGUAACAGGUGCUCAGAUUGUAAAAGGACAAUUAUGCCCAUAAGACAGCAAAGAAUAAAACAAAACAAUAUAUAUCAACUAAACUAUGAUUAUCUUGCAUUCUCUUCACGCCUCCUGCAAGUUGGAACUGGGAUGGAGACCAGGGGCAACUUGGAACAAAGGUGGUGAUGCUGAUCAGAAGAUAAAGGCUUGGUGAGCAAGUCUGCAAGUUGAGCAGUGGUGGAAACAUGCGAAGGGUGAAUGAAGCCCCGCUGAAGCUGCUCACGGACAAUGUGGCAGUCAAUCGAAAUGUGUUUUGUACGUUCAUGAAACACCGGGUUAGCAGCGAUAUGCAAGGCAGCCUGAUUGUCACAGUGGAGAGGGAUUGGCAGCUGAGUAGGCACCUGCAAGUCUUGAAGAAUAUAAGAAAUCCACAAUAAUUCACAAAUAGUACUUGCCAUAGCACGAUAUUCCGCCUCAGCGAAUGAUUUUGAGACAGUGGGUUGUUUCUUGGUUUUCCAAGAAACCAAUGAGGAUCCAAAAAAAAUGCAGAAUCCAGUGAGAGAUUUGCGCGAAAAGGGGCAGGAGGCCCAAUCAGAAUCACAGUAAGCUGUGAGAGGCAUGGUGGCAGUAACAGGAAAGCAUAGCCCUUGAUGUAUAGUGCCUUUCAAGUAGCGAAGGACAUGCAUGGCAGCCUCCCAAUGAGGCUUGCGGGGUUGAUGCAUGAACUGGCUCAGAUGUUGGACAGCAUAACUGAGGUCAGGCCGUGUAAGAUUAACAUAUAGCAACCUCCCAAUUAGACGUCUGUAAGCAUGGGGUUCAGGAAGAAUAUCUCCUGUGUCCAGAGAGAGAUGCAGCCCUUUAGGCAAGGGAAAGGAGGCUGGUUUGCAUGAGUGCAUACCAGCAUCCCUCAAAAUGUCAGAAAUAUACUUGGUUUGGCUUAAAAGAGUAGCAGUAGAUGAUCUGGCCACUUCUAGGCCAAGAAAGUAUUUCAGAAACCCCAAGUCUUUAAUGGUGAACUUGGAAUGUAAAGCAUUUUUAACCUCAGUCAUAGCAACAGUAGAGGUACCAGUAAGAAGAAUGUCAUCCACAUAUAUUAACAAGGCCAAAAAAUAGUCAGUAGUGCAUUUAACAAACAGGCAGUAGUCAUGGGCAGAUUGGGUGAAACCUAGUGUCUGUAAAAAACUUGUAAACUCAAGAUUCUAUUGCCGAGAAGCCUGUUUAAGUCCAUAUAAGGACUUCUGGAGGAGGCAGACUUGCCCGGGCAGAGCUUUAUCAUAACCCUGUGGUGGAAGCAUAUAGACUUCCUCAUCUAAGGUGCCAUGUAAGAAAGCAUUGUUUAUGUCAAGUUGAAACACAGGCCAUUGUUUAUGAGUAGCAAGGGCUAUGAGAAUACGAACUGUAGCCAAUUUGGCAACAGGAGAAAACCGAUCUUUAUAAUCAAGACCUUCAAUUUGAUUGUAACCCUUGGCGACCAACCGGGCUUUGAAUCUAUCAAUGUCACCAUUUGGUUUACAUUUGACCUUAUAGACCCAUUUACAACCUAUGGCUUUCUUGCCUUUAGGAAGGGUUGUAAGGAUCCAGGUGUUAUUCUGUUCGAGGGCAUGCAAUUCAUGUUGCAUUGCAUUAACCCAAUCAGUAUUUUGCGAUGCCUGAAUGUAGGUGGCAGGUUCUGGAAUGUGAGAAAUGUUCAGGACAUAUGUUUGAUAUGAAGGUGAAAGGUGAAUGGUGGAAAUGGGAGGAUGGACAGUGGUGAUUGCCGUGGCAACAAAGUCAUCCAGCCACGCUGGUGGUUUAAUGGCUCUGGAAGACCUUCGGAGGCCAGAGAGAUCAGGAGAAGGCUGAGAAGGUGAGGAUAUAGAUGUGAUAGGCUCUGAAUCAGGUAUGGGAAUAGGCAGCACCACAGGGGGUUGCAGAGAUUGUGUGCUAAAGGGAAAAAUGUGUUCAUAGAACACAACAUCACGGCUAACAAAGAUAGCACCAGUAGCUAGAUCAUAGAGUUUGUAAGCUUUGUGAUUACUGGCAUAACUAAUAAAGGCUGCCUUAAUGGACUUGGUACCAAAUUUGUCUUUGUGAGUGUUUGUUUUGGUGGCAAAACAAAGGCAUCCAAAUUUUUUUAGAUGGAAAUAAUCAGGGGCUUUCCCAUAGAGACGCUCAUAAGGGCUCUGCCAACCAAAUUGGGCCAUAGGAAGUCUGUUUAUUAGAUAGGUGGCAGUAAGGACACAUUCAGACCAAAAAGUGUGUGGGACAUGAGAGUGUAUUUUGAGAGCUCUAGCCAUGUCUAAAAGAUGUCUGUGCUUUCUCUCAACCACUCCAUUUUGUUGAGGAGUGUGAGGACAAGAUCUUUGAUGUAUUAUGCCCUUUUGAUUUAAUAGUCUAGAGCAAUCAUUACUAAGAAAUUCACAUCCGUUAUUUGUCCUUAUUGUCUUGACAGAGGCAUUGAAGUGAGUUUGCACCAUAUUCAGAAAUGUAGAUAAGAUAUGAACAGUUUGACUUUUAAGGCGCAUUAAGAAGGUCCAGGUGGCCCUGGUAUUGUCAUCAACUAAAGUGAGAAAGUAUUUUGCUCCUGUGACACUUUCUAUGUUAUAAGGGCCCCAAAUAUCUAUGUGGAGGAGAUCAAAAGGUUCCUUAGCAACAGUGGUACUAAGGGAAAAGGGUAACCUGGCCUGCUUGGCUUGGGAACAGGUUUGGCACUGUAAAGGAGUACCCUUAGUGUGUUUAAGCACAUCAAUAUGUUUGAGUUUCCCAAGGGAUGCAUGCCCUAGUCUAUCAUGCCAAUCAACAAUAUUACUAGCAUACAUACAAGAUUCAGUUCGAGAAGAUUGGCUUUCUUUAUUUAUAGAAUGUGUAGAAAGCAUGGUAUUUANNNNNNNNNNNNNNNNNNNNNNNNNNNNNNNNNNNNNNNNNNNNNNNNNNNNNNNNNNNNNNNNNNNNNNNNNNNNNNNNNNNNNNNNNNNNNNNNNNNNNNNNNNNNNNNNNNNNNNNNNNNNNNNNNNNNNNNNNNNNNNNNNNNNNNNNNNNNNNNNNNNNNNNNNNNNNNNNNNNNNNNNNNNNNNNNNNNNNNNNNNNNNNNNNNNNNNNNNNNNNNNNNNNNNNNNNNNNNNNNNNNNNNNNNNNNNNNNNNNNNNNNNNNNNNNNNNNNNNNNNNNNNNNNNNNNNNNNNNNNNNNNNNNNNNNNNNNNNNNNNNNNNNNNNNNNNNNNNNNNNNNNNNNNNNNNNNNNNNNNNNNNNNNNNNNNNNNNNNNNNNNNNNNNNNNNNNNNNNNNNNNNNNNNNNNNNNNNNNNNNNNNNNNNNNNNNNNNNNNNNNNNNNNNNNNNNNNNNNNNNNNNNNNNNNNNNNNNNNNNNNNNNNNNNNNNNNNNNNNNNNNNNNNNNNNNNNNNNNNNNNNNNNNNNNNNNNNNNNNNNNNNNNNNNNNNNNNNNNNNNNNNNNNNNNNNNNNNNNNNNNNNNNNNNNNNNNNNNNNNNNNNNNNNNNNNNNNNNNNNNNNNNNNNNNNNNNNNNNNNNNNNNNNNNNNNNNNNNNNNNNNNNNNNNNNNNNNNNNNNNNNNNNNNNNNNNNNNNNNNNNNNNNNNNNNNNNNNNNNNNNNNNNNNNNNNNNNNNNNNNNNNNNNNNNNNNNNNNNNNNNNNNNNNNNNNNNNNNNNNNNNNNNNNNNNNNNNNNNNNNNNNNNNNNNNNNNNNNNNNNNNNNNNNNNNNNNNNNNNNNNNNNNNNNNNNNNNNNNNNNNNNNNNNNNNNNNNNNNNNNNNNNNNNNNNNNNNNNNNNNNNNNNNNNNNNNNNNNNNNNNNNNNNNNNNNNNNNNNNNNNNNNNNNNNNNNNNNNNNNNNNNNNNNNNNNNNNNNNNNNNNNNNNNNNNNNNNNNNNNNNNNNNNNNNNNNNNNNNNNNNNNNNNNNNNNNNNNNNNNNNNNNNNNNNNNNNNNNNNNNNNNNNNACAGGUGCAUGGAGGAAGGGUCUCCAUUGAUCCCAAUUCAUCCCAAAACCCUUUCAAUUUAGUGAAAUAGACAGAUGCAGAGGCAUUGUCUUGAGAUAUCAAGGAUAUUUUCCUACGCAACUCAUAGAUCAUGGUUCCAUUACACUCACCGAAUCUUUCGGUAAUUUCAAGCCAGAGAUCCCUAGGUGAGGCUGUGUAAAUGAAGCCAUCGACUAACUCUCUGGAUAUAGAAUUUAGAAUCCAGGAUGUGACCAUAAAGUCACAUCGCUUCCAUUGUUCAUAGGAAUCAGAUCCUUUAUCAGGUAUUGUAACGGUGCCUUCUAUAAAUUCCAGUUUCUGUUUGGCUCCUAGGGCUAUCCUAAUGGCUCUACACCAAGACCUAAAAUUUGUCCCUAUCAGAGGAGCAUAUACUAAAACCAUACCUGGAUGGUCCGAAGACUGGAGAGUCAGAGGAUCUCCAAGAUUCUGAGUUCCGAUCUGGAUUUUGUCCUUCGCCUCCGUGAUUUUGCCUUCUUUACUGGUAUUCCCUCGUUCUGCCAUGAUCGACAAGAUUUGUCCGUUUUAGCCACAGAUCGUGGUGUAAGUUUGUAGAUCUGACUGAGUUGAGGCCGUCUUGAAGGAAAACGGAAAGAUUAACGAGAUCUGCUUGUCAUGCAAGCCAGAUUCGGUGUAGGACUGGUGAUGGCGUUCACCUGGAGUGUAAGCCGGCUCUUUUCGGUAAAGGUUGUUUUAAAAAAGGAAUGGCGAGGAUGAACGGAAGAGACAGGGAAAGGUGCAAACCCUAAUCCGCUCUGAUACCAUGAAGAGAAAGAAGGAGAAGCAUGCCUUUAUCCUUUUAUUCAAGAUGUAAUGAGUUUUUACAAGAGUAAAAUAAUCCCGAAACUUAGUUUUAGAGGAGCUUAUAUACUCCUCACGUGGAGCGUAACAGGUGCUCAGAUUGUAAAAGGACAAUUAUGCCCAUAAGACAGCAAAGAAUAAAACAAAACAAUAUAUAUCAACUAAACUAUUAUUAUCUUGCAUUCUCUUCAUUAUCCUUUAAAAAUUAUUAAAAUAUUUAAAAUUUAUUAAUAAAUUUAUUGGUGAAUGAAAAAUAGUAGAUUUUAAAAAAGUAACACUCAAAUUUUAAGUAAGAUUAUAUUUAAAAUUCAUUAAUAAAUUUAUUGAUGAAUGAAAAACAGUACAUUUUAAAAAAGUAAUACUCAAAUUUUAAGAUUUAAUUUUAAAUUUAUUGAAAGAUAAAAAUACCUUUUCUAUUUAUUAAUUUAAUAAUAAGAAUUAUUAAUAAAUUUUAAAAUUUAUUGGUAAUCUAUUUACAAACUAUUAAUAGAUUUAAAUUUUAUUAAUAAUUUUAAUAGUUUGUUCGGAAGUAUCAAUAAAUUACUAACUGAUUAUUAAAUUUCUACCACAAUAAUUUUAUAAAUUUAUAAAAUUAUCAACAAAUUCUAAAAUCCAUUAUUUAAACUUUUACACAAAAAUAUGACGGAACUUAUUAUUGAAUUCCAAUAACUUAUUAGUAUAUUUCUACGCAUUCUCUUUAUUAAAUAAUGACCAAGCUAUUUAAAAAUGACCCUCAUAUUAUUGGCUAAUUAAUAAUUCAACCAUCUUCUGUGACAGCCUGCUGCUGUGUGGAGAUUACUUGCUCAAGUUUUCUUUUUUUAUUCAAUUAAUUUCAGUUUAAAUAAUUGAACUCAAAAAUAUUGUUGACUUUGGAAAAAGGGUUAAUAGUAUUUAAAUUCAAAGACCAUGAUUGCUCAUUGAUGGAGCCACUAGCGUAAGUAUAUGCAUUCAUAUCUCUUAGGUAGAAAACAAGCCAACCUUCUCUAUUGCCUUGAUAAACAAUAAACAACUUGUUAUUGUCAUUUGACUUUUUAUAUUUUAAUUUUUUUUAUAAAUAUAUGUUGCCCAUAUCACAAAAUUAAUUGGUCAAUUAUUGAAUUCGAAUAUCUCUUUAACCCUUAAGUUGGAUUUUAAUAUAAAGUAUAAAGAAAUCUUAAUUAUAUAAUUUACUAAUUGAAUAAUUGAGGUUUUUUCUUGAAAAAAUUGUAAGUUAGAAGUAAAACGCAUUUUAAAAGUCAUUCAUGAAUAUGCACACAAAAAUAUAUCAGUAGUGAGUGCCAUUUUAAAAAUUUAAUAAUUUGAAAAAAAAAAUAAAAAAAAAGGAAAUUAAGAGAGAUAAACGAAGUGGAAAAGCAAAAUUGAUAAACUUCACUUACAUCUUAAUUUUCAUCUAUUUAUAUUAUUUUUAAAUUGAAUUUUCUUUUUGAUUUUCCACUGAAAUAAAAGGAAUUAUAAAGUAUAUACCAAAACCUCAAUCUCAAUGAAGUAAUUAGGUUUAUUAAAAUUAUUUACUUUCUUAAAAGAUGAAAGGGUGGAAAGGAUAAGAAUAGCAUUUUUUAAUUAUAUAGUUAAAUUCAUUAAUCUUGAUUUUUAUAUAAAAAACUUAUUUGAUCACUUGAUUGAUGGAAAGAUAAAUAUUAAAUUACUAUUUUUUUAAAAAAAAACAUAACAUUAUCAAUAAAUAUAUAUAAUAGAUACACAUUUUUAUUAUUAUUCAUAGCUUAUCUAAUUCGUAAGAGUGACACUCAAGUAUUAAAGUCAAUUGUUAUUCUAAAAAAAAGUCAAUUAUUUAGAUGUCACAAUGAAAAUAUGACUAUUAUUUUUUGUUUAGAAUAGGAAACAACUCAAUAACAAUUAAAUUUAUAUCCAUUACACAAAAUGUCAUUGACUGGAGCUGGAGGCCACAUGCUGCACAUUCUACGUUCAACGUCAACGUUAUAAUUCUUUUUUUAAGAAAAACGAAGGUCUGAACGCUAAUGUUACCAGCUGUCCUUCCUUUAUCUUUCCUACAUCUCCUUCUCUAUCUCUGAUCUUUCACAUUCACACUUUAAUAUAAGAACUGUAUAUAUAUAUACUUGCAAGAAACCAUUGGUUGUGGUUGAAUAAGUCUGCAACUUCUGAUGGCUUCACCGUGGGGAGAUCGCCGGAAUGAAACUAGAGGUAUUAGUCGUUCUAGCUAAAACUGUUUAAUGAGUUCAAAUAGUAAUAUUGUUAUGGAACUUUCAUUUCAUAUAACUUAUUGAAGCAUGUUGUUUAUUGUAUGGUCACUAAGUACAGAUCCGAAUGAAUCUGACUCAUCUCCUGAGAAGAGUCCAAGUAAUGCAUAUGCAUCUGAUAAUUCUAAGGUUAUUGGGCCAAAAUCAUAUUCAUACAGUGAUUUAGCAAAGGCAACUCGUCAUUUUUCGCUGAAUUACCAAAUUGGUCAAGGUGGUUUUGGUCAAGUCUUUAAGACAUCCUUAAACGGUGAGACCUAUGCUAUCAAGAAACUCAAUAAUUUUGUAGAUGAACAGGCCGAAGGAAAGUUGGAGAACGAGAUUGAGGUCGUCAAUAGAGUCAGUCACAAAAAUCUUGUUAAGCUAGUUGGUUACUGCAUUGAUGGAGCCAACAGAUUGCUUAUUUUAGAGUAUUUUUCUAAUGGGUCCUUGAGAUCUAAAUUACAUGGUGAGUCCAAACCUUUAUUUUAUGUUCAUAUAACUAAUUAAUAUAACAUAAUUAAUCUUAUAAAUUACAAAUGGUACUGUAGGAAAGGAAAAUGUUUUGGACUGGAAAAAGAGAAUGAAAAUCGCCAUAGGUUCUGCAAAAGGAUUGCAAUAUUUACAUGAAGAUUGUGAGUAUAUAUUAAUAGCAUAGUAGGCUUUUUUGAGAAUGAAUUUUAUUUUUUUUUCCUUAUUUGUGCUAAUAAUUUAUUUCCUCUGAAAGUUUUGUUCUCCCUUUUUAUAUAUAUGUUUUUUUUUUUUUUUUCAGGUGAACCUAAAAUCAUACAUUUAGAUGUUAAGGCAGAUAAUAUUCUUCUUGAUGAUAACUUUGAAUCUAAGGUAUGAUAUAUAAUUUGAUAAUAAAUAAAAAUUUUAUUCUUAUCAUCAUAUAACUAUAGUGGAACCUUUACCAUUGAAUAUCAAAAUUUUUAUUUUUAAAUAAUAUUGAAAAAUAAUGUGAACCCAUUAAUUUGAUUGCAUAGGUUUCAGAUUUUGGACUUUCCCUAUUUUUUUCGGAUGCUGCUUCUCAUGUCUCAAGAUCAUCAAUUAGAGGAACCCAAAUGUAUGUAAGAUACAAAUUUCUUUCUAUCAUUUAAUAACUGUCUAUUGUUUUCAGUGCCAUCAUGAUAUCUACUCUUAGAGCUCCUUAAUUUAAAGAUAUUAUUUUCUUACAGGAAAUCUUAAUAUGAACAUUAAUUGUGAAGAUAUUAAGUUUAAUUGUAUGAUUGAAUUGCAGCUAUGCAGAUCCAUUGACAACACAAUUGGGAAAACACUCUGAUAAAUCUGAUGUUUAUUCUUUUGGUGUUACACUUUUGGAGUUGAUUAGUGGGAGAAAACCCAUAAAUCAAAACGGCGUCAAUAUUAUUACUUGGGUAUGAAUCUAUUAAAUUGUAACAAUUUAAUAUAAAAUUGUGUUUUUAGCUUUUGAUAUAAGAAUUGAUCUUUAAAAGAAUGGAUUCAACAAAUCACAAUUGGAUGUAUGGAGAUAAAAUAAUGAAACUUUCUUUCUAGCAACAUUUAAAAAAAACAAAGAAGACAAAAACAUAUGCUAUAUGUUAAAUAUAAAUUUACAGGCAACAUGUAUUUAUAUCCAUUAAUAAAUAAUUUUUAAUGGAUUUUUUGCAGGCAAACUCUUUAAUUGAAAAAGUUUUGAAAGGUGAAUAUGCGGAUUUUGUAGAUUCCAGGUUACAAUCCUUUGACCAUGAAGAAAUGCAUCGAAUUAUUUUUUGUGUUAAUGCUUGCAUAAAUCUACCUCCAAAAUUCCGUCCAUCAAUGAAAAGGGUAAAUUCUGUUUAUAUAAUUUAAUUUUGGUAUAUAUAUAAUACACGUUAUUUGCAAUAAAUUUUAUGGAAGCAUUUAGAGAUUACAAGUGUUGACUUGUAAAUCUUUUUAUCAUUGCUGUGCCAUGUAGGUAGUUCUAGCCCUUGAAGGAAUUCUGCCUCUAAAGAAUGACAACAAAUUGUACUCCAGAGCUUCAUAUGAAGGUCUGUUUUCUUGUAAAAAAUGGAAUAACUUUUGUAAGGUGUUAUUAAUUUUUUAGGAGACUUAUUAUUUAGUCUAUCAAAUAUAGUAAAAUUCGUUAGUUAGUCUCUUAAUUUUGAAAAACAUAUUAAAACGUUCAUAAGAUAAAAAAUCUACUAAUUAAUUUCUCCGUUAAUUUUAGUCAUUAAGCGUUAAAAAAAUCUAAAAUUAAGAACUAAUUAGUUUAAUUUUUAUAAAAUUAAGAGAUCAAUUAAAAAAUUUUAUUUAUAUUAUAGAAACUAAAUAGUAAAAACACUUAACGUCUAAAGUUAACAUAUAACUGAUUAGUGGUUUUUUUAAUAUUUCAGGGAUAUUUUAAUGAGUUCUUUAAAUUAGUGGAUUAACUAGUCAAUUUUAUUAAAUCUGAGGGACUAAAUAAUUAUUUUCUUUCUCUGUAUAUAUAAAUUAUAACUUGAUGAUAAAGUGAGAUCAUUUUAAUGUUAAAAAACCCUUAAUAUUAGAACAGAUUUUGAUUUUUAUUUAAAUCUGAUUGGCAUAUAAUUCCUUUAUUUAAAAGGAGAUGGAAUGAUAUGAACUUAAUUCAUUUUUUAAAAAAAUAAAAAGUAUCCACCUCAGUUCAUGUAUUUAAUAAUUUCUCCUUGUUGAGUUACACUAAUUUACCCUUCUUUUUCCGGAAGCAGAUGAGCCUAAGCCAAGCCCCAAGCCUCCGAUCAUUCCAGAAACUAAUAGAUCAUCAAAUGAAGUUUACAAACCAAGGAGAUUUACUUAUAAACAACUAAGUUCUGCAACUAAAGAUUUCUCCGAAAGCAACCUUCUUUACAGGGGUAUUAUGGGUGAAGUAUAUAUGGCAUCCCUAAAUGAUGUCGGACAAGUGAUAAUCAAGAAAUUUCAUCUCGAAAAAGAAGAUGAAUUCAAGAAGAUUAAAGGCAUCAGCAGUAGUGUUCAUCACGAAAAUCUUGUUAACCUGGUUGGAUACUGCAAUGAAAGAGAUAAUAAUCUGCUUGUUUAUGAGUGUUUUAGGUUUCGAUCCUCUUUAAGAUUUCGUUUACUCGGUAUGCUCUUUAUAAUUAAAUAACUUGCAAAUUCUACAUUUAUCAAAAACCUUAUUUUAUUAUUUUUUGGCCGGAUUUUUAACUAGAUGCGUAUAUAAUACAGGGACAAAAAUAAUGAGUACAUCAAUAAUGGAAUGGCCAACCAUCAAGGGCAUAGCUUUAAGCAUCGCAAAAGGAUUAGUACAUCUCCACGAAUUAUGUGAGUCUUAAACUGAACCAUUAUUUGUUUCUAGUUUUUUUUUUUUUUUUACAUUUUAUUUAUGAUGUCUGUAUUUCCAGAUAAACCUUUGAAUACCUACGAGCAUUACCUGGAUGAUUGCGUAUUUCUUGAUGAUAAUCUUGAACCAAAGGUAGUUAUGAUAAAUUUAAAUAUUUUCAAUGAUCAAUUAUUGAUAUAAAUCUUGGAGAUUAUAUUCUGUGUGUGAUCAAUUAUAUGUAAAAUUAUCAUUCAACAUGUAAUUAUAUCUUUUUUGUUGUAAUUAAAAAUACACUUCUUGUUUCUGUUCAAAAAAAAAAUACACAUCUUGGUUAACUUAGCAAAAAAUAAAAAGAAAGAAAGAAAGAAAGAAAAGCACACACUUUUUUUAAAAUAACAAACCAAAGGUAAAUUUUAUAAAUAUUAAUAUUUAAUUUAUAUGUGUAAUUAGUAAUAGAAAUAAUAAUUAAAAAAAUCAAUAUAGUUGAGUUUCAAGUUGAAUAUAUAUGGCCAUUAUUGGAUUGUGAAACUAUUGAAGUUUACUAAUUGUGUUUGAUGUUGAUCUAUAUGGUGCAAUAAAUUUAUUUGGUUCUUUUUUUUAUCAGUUUGCUGAGUAUGGACGUACCAAUUUUUUCUUAAAAGAUUCUGAAAUGCUUCUUUCUAGCAGGUAAAAAUGAUUAUUAUAUUUUGUUUCUUGAUUAGAUUAUUUGCAACUACAUGACUUAUAUUUGAUAUGUUAGGAAUUUUUUUUUGGCAUUUAAGGAAGAAAAACAUCUUAGCAUUCUUAUACUUUUAGUGAAGAUUUGUCGACAAUUAUUCUUAUAUUUUCUUUUAUCUUCUAUUGCAGUUCAACGACUUCUACAUAUCUUAAGUUUGAUGUGUAUUUUUUGGGUAUAAUUCUUCUGAAGCUUAUUACUGGGAAACAACAACAUAAUGACAUCAGUUCUAUUAAUGACUAUAACUUGAUCGAAUUGGUAUGUAUUUCUUCCCAUAGUCUAAAAUGCAAGUAGCAAAAUUCAAAAUAGAUCAAAUAAUUCAUUGUUGAUAUUAGCCAUAGUCUAAAAUGCAAGUAGCAAAAUUCAGAAUAGAUAAAAUAAUUCAUUGUUGAUAUUAGCAAUGAGGAUUUAGUGACAUGCUAACUCCAUUGCUGAAGUUAAUUUUAACUAGCAAUAUAUAAUUGUCAAAUUAAAAUAGUCACUGAAAAGCUUGUCAACAAUUUAAAAAUGGAUUAGCAAUGGAAUCGAUUGUGAAUCUACAUUAUUAGCGACAGAUCUAUCAAUCCAUCACUUGAAGUCUAUUUUUUAUUAUUUUGUAUUGUAUGUAUAUAUACAUUCUUUUAUAUGUCAAUGAUUUUUUUAAUGUAUUAAUUAUAAUUCAGAUGGCGAUUCACCUAAAAAAUAAUUGGCCCAAAAGUGACUAUAGUUUUGUCGAUCCAAGAAUUGAGAGUUAUGACAAACAUGAAAUGGAUCAAAUGAUUGAAUGUGCUAUAGCAUGUGUAAAUCCUUGUCCACAAUAUCGACCUCAAAUGAGUCAGGUAUGUAAUAAUUCUUUUAAAAAGGAUUGUAGAAAUGUGUAUAUGAAUAAAUAUUUACAAUUAAAACUAAAAAUCAGAAUUAAUUGAACUCAUUUCAGCCUAUUUAAUUUAACUGUUAGAAUAUAUUUAAUAGCAGAUAAUUUUUUGUAAUGAGUAGCUAACAAAUAAGUCGAGUUGAUAUAUCUUAGAUGUUUUAUAAAUUAUGUCUAAUUCAUAUGAUUAAUAUGUCACAUGAGUAAUUGGCAAAUAUCAAUUUAUUAUACUAUUGAAAUAAAUAUAAAAUUAUUAAUUUAUUAUACAAUAUAUAUAGUAAUUAAAAGCAUAAUUUUUCAAAAUAUAAUUGUUUUCAUGCAUAUACAUAAUUUUUUGUUCUAUAAUAAUUAAUAUUAUAAAUAUUUUAAUUGUUAUUUAUAAUAUUUUUAAUUUAUUUAUUAUCUCUUAUAAUUUUAAGUAAUUUAUUGAUAUAAAAAUUUAAUUUAAAAAUUAUUAUUAAGAAAAUUUUAAAAGAUAAUAUAUUCUAAAUAAAAAAUAAAAUUAAAAUAACUAUUAAGUAGUAAAAAACAAUUCUAAUAUUCGAGCUUAUGUGAACUACAACUAAUAAGUCUCAUAUAAACUACUAAUUGGUUUUUAAACAUUUAAAAAAUAUAUUAAUUAUAGUUAUAGCCAUUGCUGUAAACAAAUUCUGAACUAUGACUCAUCUUUAUUUAUUCCAUUUCUUAUGAAAAGCAGGUGGUCGAAGUUCUAGCAGGAAAUAUUCCUGCGAGAAAUCUCGAGAAGAAUUUUUUCUUUUUUCAUGAAAAAAAAGAAUGAAAGAUUUUUGGAUUCUGGGGAUGAAGUAUAUAUGUAUAUCUGCAGCAAAGCUAAAGAGUGUAAUAGUUAUCUUUUAUCAGAUAAUUUCAGAUUGGCAACUCAGUAUCAAAUUGAGAAAAUAAAAAUUAUUCCAUUAAUUGUAAGCAUAAAUAACUUUGUAUAAUUUUUUUUUUUUUUUCUAAGCAUACUUUGUAUCAAUUUACUAUUUAAAUAAAAAGUAAUAUUUCAUAUAUAUUGUUAAUUCUAUUAAUUAUAAUAAAACCUUAAUGACUUAAAUAAACCUCUUGUUAGUAUCUAAAUUAAGGAAUGAAUGAAAAUCAUCACCAUAUGAUGAAUUAGAUUCCACCUUGCUUAAAUUCAAAGGCCAUGAUUGUUCAUUGAUAGAGUCAAUAGCGUAAGUGUAUUCAUUCAUAUUUUUAAGUGGAAAUCAAGCUAACCUUCUCGAUUGCCUUAAUAAACAAUAAACAACUUCUUACUUUUAUAAGAUUUUUAUAUUUUAAAUUUUUUUUAUUUUUAUAAUUUUAUGUUGCCCACAAUACAAAAUUAAUUAGUCAAUUAUUGAAUUCGAAUAUAUCUGUAUUCUAACCCUUGAGUUGGACUUUAAUAUAAAGUAUAGAGAUAUUAAUUAUAUUAAUAAUAAAAUAUUAAUAAUAUCUCCAUCAUUGAGGUGUUUUUCUUAAAAAAAAAUGUUAGGUGUAAAAUCCAUCAGAUGAAUACACAUUAAAAUGUAUAAAUAUCAAGUGCCUUCAUAAAAAAUUAAUAAUUUGAAAAAGAAAAGAGAAAAAAGAAUAAUUAAGAGAGAUAAAUGAAGUGGAGCAAAAUUGAUAAACUUAAUUUUCAUCUAUUUAUAUUAUUUUUUCCCUGCAAAAUAUCGAGCUGGAGGCCACAUGCUGCGCAUUCUACGCUCAUCGUCAACGUUAAUUUUCUUUUUUUUAAGGAAAAUGAAGGUCUGAAUGGGCACAUCUCCCUCUCCAUCUCUGACCAUUCGCAUUCACACUUAAUAAGCACUGUAUUUUAUAUAUAUAUACUUGCAACAAACCUCUGACUGUGGUUGGGCAAGUUGAUCUGCGACUUCCGAUGGCCUCUCGCUGGGGGAUGAACAGGGCAGAUAGCCAGAGUGAAACUAGAGGUAUUAAUUUUUUUUUAGCUGCAACUGAGUAACGAGUUCAAUAGUAAUAGUUUCAUGGAACUUUCGUUUCAUUAAACUAUUUGAGGCAUGUUGUUUAUUGAUUGUCACUGCGCACAGAUCGGAAUGAAUCUGGCUCAUCUCCUGAGAAGAGUCGAAGUUAUGCAUCUAACAAUUAUAAGGGUAUUGGGCCAAAGUCAUAUUCAUACAGUGAACUAGCAAAGGCAACUGGUCUUUUCUCGCUCAAUAACCAACUUGGUCAAGGUGGUUUUGGUCAAGUUUUUAAGGCAAUCUUAGAUGGUAAGAUCCGUGCUAUCAAGAAACUUAAUAAUUUUCCAGAUAUACAGUCUGAAGGAGAUUUGGAGAGGGAGAUUAUGGUCGUCAAUAGAGUCAGUCACAAAAAUCUUGUUAAGCUGGUUGGUUACUGCAUUGAUGGAGCCAACAGAUUACUGAUAUUGAAGUAUUUUCCCAAUAAGUCCUUGAAAUAUACAUUACAUAGUGAGUCCCAUGCACAUUCUUUCUUUUGCCCAUGUUCAUGUAUAAUUAAUAUUUCGUAAUUAAUCUUACAAAUUACAAAUCAUUUUGUAGGAAAGGAGAAUGUUUUAGAUUGGAAAAAAAGAAUGAAUAUUGCAAUAGGUUCUGCAAGAGGAUUGGAAUAUUUACAUGAACACUGUGAGUAUAUAAUAGAGAACAUAUUUUUGCUUGUUAGGCUUUUAAAUUUUGGGAGUGAGUUUUUAUUAAACCUUGUUUAUUUCUUCUAACAGUUCUGUGUUUUCUUUAUAUUAUUUUCAGGUAAACCUAAAAUUAUACAUUUAGAUAUCAAACCUGAUAAUAUUCUUCUUGAUAAUGAUUUUGAACCUAAGGUAAGAUAGUUUGAUAAUAAAUAUAAAUUUUAUUUAUAUCAUCGUAGAUGUAUGCUGAAAUUUUGAUCAUUUUAUUCCAAAAUUUUAUUUUUGAAAAAUUAUAUCAACCCAUUAAUUUGAUUGUUGUAAUUAAUUAAUAAUGAACCUUAAUAAGGCUUCUUAUCUUCUUUUCAUGCUCUACUACUUUCUUAAUAAACCUUAUUGGAGUACGGAAAAUAGUAUAAUUUUCCAAAUAAAAAAUAUAUAUAUUCGUGAAAUUAAAUGUGAAAAAUAAUUAUACCUUUUAAUUAAUAUUUAUAUUACAUAUGCAUGGCAUAAUAAAUUUACUAAUCUACUUAAAUCAUUUGUUUAGGUUUCAGAUUUUGGACUUGCCCUAUUCUUUAAGGAUGCUGCUACUCACGUAUCCAGAUCAUCAACUUUGGGAACUCAUAUGUACGUAAAAAAAAACUUUCUUUCUAUUAUUUAAUUACUUCACUAUUAUUGCCUUUUUUUUUCAAUGUCGUCGUUAUCUAAUCUUAAAAUAAUUUAAAAAAUUAAAUUAAAUUAAAAAAAAAAAAGAAAAAGUAAAAAAAGAAAUUAGGCUCUUAAUUUGAAGAUAUUAGUUUUUUAAAGAAAAUCUUAACACAAAUUUUAAUUGUAAUUGUAAUGAUUUAUUAACACAAAUUUUAAUUGUAAUUGUAAUGAUUUAAUUACAGUUAUGCAGACCCAUUAUCAACGAAAUUGGAAAAAUAUUCUGAUAAAUCCGAUGUUUAUUCUUUUGGUGUUACGUUGUUGGAGCUUAUUACUGGACAAAAUUCUAUUAUUGAUGCAAGCACCGACAUCGUUACUUGGGUAUGACUCUUUAUUAUUAAUAGUUUAAUAUAAAAAUUACAAUAUAAAAAUUGUGAUAUAAAAAUCAAUCUAAAAGAAGAAUUGAAUUCAAAUCUCAGUUGGAUGUAUUUAAUAAUGAAUCAUUCUCUAUAGCCACAUGAAAAAAAUAGAAAAGGACAACCCAUAUGCUAUAAGUUAAAUACAAAUGUACAUGCAACAUACAUUUAUGAUCCAUUAAUAAAUAACUCAUUAAUGAUAUUGUAGGCAAAACCUCUAAUACAAAAGGCUUUGGAGGGAGAAUAUGCAGAUUUUGUAGAUUCAAGAUUGCAAUCUUUUGACCACGAACAAAUGCAUAGAAUGAUUUUUUGUGCUAAUGCUUGCAUAAAUCAACCGCUAAAAUAUCGUCCAUCAAUGAAAAUGGUAAAAUUUAUUUUUAUAAUUUAAUUUUGAUAUAUUUCAAAACUUUGUCUAUAUAUAUAUAUAUAUAUAUAUAUAUAUAGAUUACAUAAUAUAUUCAAUUGAGUUUGCAGAAGCGUUGAGAGAUCACAUUGUUGACUUAUAAAUCUUUUUAUCAUUGAUAUGCCAUGUAGAUACUUUUAGCUCUUGAAGAAAUUUUGCCUCUAGGAAAUCUGUGCGAUGAGAAGAACAACAACAAAUUGCAAUUGAAAGCUACUUACAAAGGUAAAUUUCUUAUAAAAAAUAAAAAAUAUCUAUUUCGAAAUGUUAUUCAUUUUUUUUAUGGAUAAAAUAUAACUUAAUGAUAAAGUGGAAUCAUCUUAAUGUUAAAAAACUGAACAAAUUUUAAUUUAUUUAAAUGACAUAUAAUCCUUUAUUUAAAAGGAGGAAGGGAUGACAUGAACUGAACUAAUUCACCUUUUUGUAAAAAAAAAGUAUCCACCUCUGUUCAUGUACUUGAUCCUUUUUUCCUUUAAUAAUUUAUCCUUAUAGAGCUGCACUAGUUUACC